rnacentral:rRNA from 1 species
UAGGGAAUCUUCCGCAAUGGGCGAAAGCCUGACGGAGCAACGCCGCGUGAGUGAUGAAGGUCUUCGGAUCGUAAAACUCUGUUAUUAGGGAAGAACAAAUGUGUAAGUAACUAUGCACGUCUUGACGGUACCUAAUCAGAAAGCCACGGCUAACUACGGGCCAGCAGCCGCGGUAAUACGUAGGUGGCAAGCGUUAUCCGGAAUUAUUGGGCGUAAAGCGCGCGUAGGCGGGUUUUUAAGUCUGAUGUGAAAGCCCACGGCUCAACCGUGGAGGGUCAUUGGAAACUGGAAAACUUGAGUGCAGAAGAGGAAAGUGGAAUUCCAUGUGUAGCGGUGAAAUGCGCAGAGAUAUGGAGGAACACCAGUGGCGAAGGCGACUUUCUGGUCUGUAACUGACGCUGCUGUGCGAAAGCGUGGGGAUCAAACAGG